UAGAAACAAUAGCUUCAGCUCCAAAGGUGAGGUUGAAAGAAACUUUUCUAAUAGACGUUCGAUGUGUCAUUCGGUAGGCCCAUGGUAUAUUGUAAAGCUCCUCAAUUCAUAGUCCUUUUGCUCCAUCAAGCCUCGACUUUAAACCCUGAAAAAUAGUACGAUUAGUUACUUCUGCUUUCCCAUUGGACUACGGAUGGCUGAUCGAGAUGAGCCUA
rnacentral:lncRNA from 1 species